rnacentral:rRNA from 1 species
AUUGAACGCUGGCGGCAUGCCUUACACAUGCAAGUCGAACGGCAGCACGGGGCAACCUGGUGGCGAGUGGCGAACGGGUGAGUAAUGCAUCGGAACGUACCUUUCAGUGGGGGAUAACGUAGCGAAAGUUACGCUAAUACCGCAUAUUCUGUGAGCAGGAAAGCAGGGGAUCGCAAGACCUUGCGCUGAUUGAGCGGCCGAUGUCAGAUUAGCUAGUUGGUGAGGUAAAGGCUCACCAAGGCGACGAUCUGUAGCGGGUCUGAGAGGAAGAUCCGCCACACUGGAACUGAGACACGGUCCAGACUCCUACGGGAGGCAGCAGUGGGGAAUUUUGGACAAUGGGGGCAACCCUGAUCCAGCCAUGCCGCGUGGGUGAAGAAGGCCUUCGGGUUGUAAAGCUCUUUCGGCCGGGAAGAAAUCGCACGGGCUAAUACCCUGUGUGGAUGACGGUACCGGAAUAAGAAGCACCGGCUAACUACGUGCCAGCCGCCGCAGUAACAC